rnacentral:rRNA from 1 species
GACGAACGCUGGCGGCGUGCUUAACACAUGCAAGUCGAACGGAAAGGCCCUGCUUUUGUGGGGUGCUCGAGUGGCGAACGGGUGAGUAACACGUGAGUAACCUGCCCUUGACUUUGGGAUAACUUCAGGAAACUGGGGCUAAUACCGGAUAGGAGCUCCUGCUGCAUGGUGGGGGUUGGAAAGUUUCGGCGGAUGGGGAUGGACUCGCGGCUUAUCAGCUUGUUGGUGGGGUAGUGGCUUACCAAGGCUUUGACGGGUAGCCGGCCUGAGAGGGUGACCGGCCACAUUGGGACUGAGAUACGGCACAGACUCCUACGGGAGGCAGCAGUGGGGAAUAUUGCACAAUGGGCGGAAGCCUGAUGCAGCAACGCCGCGUGCGGGAUGACGGCCUUCGGGUUGUAAACCGCUUUCGCCUGUGACGAAGCGUGAGUGACGGUAAUGGGUAAAGAAGCACCGGCUAACUACGUG